rnacentral:lncRNA from 1 species
CGGGAGAGGCUUCUCUUCCUUUUCCUGACAAGCAUCGCCGAGUGCUGCAGCACACCCUACUCCCUUCUGGGCCUGGUCUUCACGGUGUCCUUUGUUGCCUUGGGUGUUCUGACGCUCUGUAAGUUCUACCUGCAGGGAUAUCGAGCCUUCAUGAAUGAUCCUGCCAUGAAUAGGGGGAUGACGGAAGGAGUCACUCUGCUGAUCCUGGCGGUGCAGACGGGGCUCAUAGAACUGCAGGUGGUUCACCGUGCGUUCCUGCUCAGCAUCAUCCUCUUCAUUGUCGUCGCCUCUAUCCUGCAGUCCAUGCUGGAGAUCGCAGAUCCCAUUGUUUUGGCACUGGGAGCGUCUAGAGACAAGUAAGGAAAACGUGCCGCUUCGAUUCAGUUGCCGUACUCUCUUCCCACAUACUGCUGUAUCCUGAAGGAUGGCUGGGAACCUGCUGUUCAUUCUCUGUGUGUGGUUUGUGUGUUAUACUCACCUUUGCCUGAACAUGUGCGUGUCGAAGCCAGAGAGGGAUGCUGGGCGUUCUCCUUGAUCUCUGUCCACCUAACUGACUGACCGAACCAGAGCCUGGUGACUGAGUUAGUCUAGUCUUGCCUUGGGCAGUCUAGUUUCCAUCUCCUGAACACUGUAAACAUAGUCAGCCACUCCUGGCUUUGACAUGGACUUCGGGGACAUGUACUCUGGUCCUCCAACUUGUGCAGCCAAUGUUUUAUCCACUGAGCCAUCUCCUCAGCCUGUGUUUGGCUUUCCUAAUGAGUUUUGGUUUUCUCUUAGGGUUUCUAUAGUUAAAAGUCACAUCAGAAGCUUUG